UACGUAGGGUGCAAGCGUUAAUCGGAAUUACUGGGCGUAAAGCGCGCGUAGGCGGUUUUGUAAGUCGGAUGUGAAAUCCCCGGGCUUAACCUGGGAACUGCAUUCGAUACUGCAUAACUAGAGUAUGGUAGAGGGAAGUGGAAUUCCGGGUGUAGCGGUGAAAUGCGUAGAUAUCCGGAGGAACACCAGUGGCGAAGGCGACUUCCUGGGCCAAUACUGACGCUGAGGUGCGAAAGCGUGGGGAGCAAACAGG
rnacentral:rRNA from 1 species